CCCCCCCCCCCCUCACCAAUGACCCCAGUCCCACCCCCACAUCUCCCAACAGCAAGCGGAGUUGAGGCGCCACAGAUGCGGCCGGCCUCACAUCCUCCACUCAUGUCCAUUUCACACCACACCAGUCUGGCAGUGUCGGCAUGCAGACUCCGAAAAAAGACUGCACCCCCACCAGGAUGGAGCAAGCUUUGCAGAGAGAGAGAGAGAGAGAGAGAGAGAGAGAGAGAGAGAGAGAGAGCUUGCUCGUUCUGUGUGAUUCUGCGUGUGAGCAGCAAAUGUAGCUUGGGUAACUCCCCGCACGGGGUGAGACAGGGCGGUGGAUGGAGUGUGAGAAGGCAAGAGAGGUGGAGAGUGGGCAAGAAUCGCUGAAUCCGAGGGUGAAGGCAGGUUAAAGCUCUGUUUAUAAUGCAGAUGCCAUGAACAGCUUCAUACAAUACACCGCAGAAUAAACGCGUUGACCUUCAGCCACCAUACUUACAAUUGUGUGUGUGCGUGUGUGUGUGUGUGUGUGUGUGUGUGUGUGUUUGGGGGGAUGCUUCUGUGCUAUAUUUCCUUAUCUCUGGCCAACAUGUGUCCACAAGCAGUGCCUCCACCUCAACCUAAAACCCAGCUAACCCCUGUUGGGGGGCAGAAAAGAGGAGCGGGGGGGGGGGGGGGGAGUGAGAGAGAGGCCCCAGCGACUGACAACAACUGACAGCUGAGCUUCCUCUCUCAUUGGGGCUUUCACAAUGUCAACUUCACACACACACACACACACACACACACACACACACACACACACACACACACGCACACACACACAGACAGACACACACACAGACACACACACACACAGACACACACACACACACACACAGCACAAGGAUCGAUCCAGUUCAGCUGAGUGGCCAUGCACGAAUUAUAACCAUUUUCUCUCUCUCUCUUGUGGAGUUUGACAUUGACUCUGUGAGACUGUGCUGUGCAGUUGUCUGUGUGGAAGAAAAGCUCUUAUGUAACAAAUGCUGAUGUUUUGUGUGUGAGCCUUUGUGUGUGUGUGUGUGUGUGUGUGUGUGUGUGUGUGUGUGUGUGUGUGUGUGUGUGUGUGUGUUUGUGAUGUUAUGCAGGUUUUCUUCUUGCCUUUGGAGCACCAUAUCAACUCAGAACGCUACAAUUUUGUGAAAGUGUGUGUGUGUGUGUGUGUGUGUGUGUGUGUGUGUGUGUGUUUGCGUCUGUGCGUCUGCAUGGCCACAACUGUCGUAGUGUGUUGCCACACACAGCACACCGCAGGGAGCAGUAAGCAACAGGUGUAAAAGGGGGAUGUAAAAAACAUACAGUGAACCGUUUUUCCCCUGCCUGACUUCUGAACCUUUGCCGUCACUGCUGGACAGCUGUGAAAAUGACCCCUUGUUUGCUUCACUCCGCGUAGCAAACAUUUUAUCUGUGUGUCUGUGUUAAAAGAAAGGUGACCCACAAAUGACCUGCCUAUAGCUGCAUUUCCUCUGGAAACUCAUCUGUGGUCUGUGUUAACCUGAACAUGACCUGUAUGUUACUCAGGCUCUUACUCAAUGAAAGAUAGGGGCGUAGAAAAAGCAGCUGCCCGUGUCACACAACACGACGGCAAAAGAACAGGCCACCACUGAGAACUGCACCUCGGACAGACAGCAACAGUGCAAAGAACGCAGGGGAACACAUCAUAUUACUCACCUACGCUGUGUCCCAAUUCAGGGGCCACAACCUUCAGUGGAAAACAGAAGUGAAAAGGGACGCCAUUCCGUGACAAGGGCUGCUGCCCUUGGAUCCUGGGAUAGGCCGGCCCGAGGAGGAUCCACGCGUCGGAGCCCUCGUGGCUCGGGGAUGGAAGGGCACACUUGUCUGAUGCGUUCGAAGGGAGCUUUUGAAAUGGGACAGCCAGACAGUUGCACUGCUGCGGCACAAUCAGUCUUCAAACUCAGGCCGCCGAAGGAACUUCCAACUCGGAAUUGGGACACGGCUGCAGUUGUAUGCUACAGUAUUUCUUGGCCAGGGGGCCGGAGCAGUGACUUCCUGGAAUUGUAUCGUCAACGAAACAGUCCUGCACGAAUGCUGCAUUCACAUAAUGUCAGCAGAACGGGAAGAGCAGGAAAACCUCUCAAUCUGACGUUAUAUUAAAAUGUGGUUGCUGAUCGCCCCACUGGUCGCCUUGUAGUCACAUCAUUUAGCUAACUUUAUUUAAAUACUUCAUUUAUGGUUUAUUAAAAAUGAAACCAGGUACAAGUAAACAGUGUAUUGGUCCUUGUUAUUAGCUGAAUCUGUUAGUUAUUAGUUUGUAUUGUAUUUAAAUGUAACAGCUAGUGGUCAAGUCUUUGCAGUGAGUUUGCGUCUAAGCCAGAUUUCUGACUCGACUAGCCCAGUCUUUAACUGCAGUUUCAUUUUGACUGUCCAGCAUGAGUCAUAUUUCUUCAAAUCCAACUCUUGGCCAAUAAACAAGCAUGUUUCCAGAAAUGUCUAACUCUUUCUAUGUGACAGAACCUAUAUGGGGCAGGAUUAGAGAAGUCAGAACCAAAAACGGGCAACGUUUGGACAGGGGACAGCGGUUGUGUUUAUAUAAAUUCAAAUGUAUAAUCCAACCUCUGAGUUAUUUUUGGCAAUAAAUUCAUCCGUAUCUUUGUUCCUAA